GAAGAAAUAUUUCCUUUUGUUUGUUUAAAACCUGCUGCUUAUUAGUUUCAUUGGGUUCUUGUUCCCCUAGUUCUUGUGUUAUGUGAAGGAGUAAAUAACAUUUCCUUAUUCAUGUUCUCCAUACUAGUCAAGAUUUUGUAGACCUCUUUCAUAUCUCCUGUUAGUCAUCUCUUUUCCAAGCUGGAAACUCCCAGUC